AUAUGGUUUAUUUGCAAGCAGCACCUUAUUUACACAAAGGAAGGUACUUGGGAUGCAAAUGGUGCAGAACUCAGAUCAUCCCCACAACAAGUCAGCCCAAACACUGAAACUGAACAAUCAAAUCAUUUGACGUCAAAGUCUAAUAUUCUAGAGCGGAAAAAUCUACCAAAUCCAGCUCUGGAGAGCCAAAUUGCAGAUGCUGAUCUGAUGGUAAAGGAGUUGGAGCAAAAAAUAACCUCUUCUGAGGAACUGCUGCAAAAUUACAAGAAAGAACGAGAUGAAUUGCAGAUUGAGCGUGACAAUUCACUCAAAGAA
rnacentral:misc_RNA from 1 species